rnacentral:rRNA from 1 species
AACGUGGAGACAGGUGGUGCAUGGCUGUCGUCAGCUCGUGUCGUGAGAUGUUGGGUUAAGCCCCGCAACGAGCGCAACCCUCACCUCUUGUUGCCAUCAGGUCAUGCUGGGCACUCUAGAGGAACUGCCCCGGUCAACGGGGAGGAAGGCGGGGAUGACGUCAAGUCAUCAUGCCCCUUACGUCCUGGGCUACACACGUGCUACAAUGGCCGGUACAAAGGGAUGCCACACCGCGAGGUAGAGCUAAACCCAAAAAGCCGGUCUAAGUUCAGAUUGGAGUCUGCAACUCGACUCCAUGAAGGAGGAAUCGCUAGUAAUCGCGUAUCAGCACGACGCGGUGAAUACGUUCCCGGGCCUUGUACACACCGCCCGUCACACCACGAAAGCCUGCUGUACUCGAAGUCGCUGAG